GAUGCUCUCUGAUCUGGAUCCGGGGAGGAUGCGCGUGCCGCUGCUGCCGCUUCACUUGCAGGCACGCGCCUUGAAUCGUCGAUGAAGCACGAGAGCAAACCGAGAGCAGCCGACAGCUGAAGAUAGGUUGACCAAUAAACCACAUUGAAGAAGAGGAAAGAGAAGGGGAAGAGAGCUCUUGCAUAGAGGUCGACGCGUUUAGCAGCAGCAGGCUCGACUUCACUAAAACUUACCUGCACAGGUGAAAGAAUGGCCACAUAUAAUAAAGACAUACAAUCAUACUUAUGACUAUAUGUUGUUCUUUUUCUACAAACAUAUUUAGGCUAACAUGUUCAGCUAGUUGUGGAUCACUUUAAGACAGCAUCCUGCACAGGUUUGCUGUGCUGACUUUAUUCAUUAUUUGUAAUUUUUUAUACCGUGAUGUCCAUUCAGGGUUGUUCAGGUCUCCAACUUACAUUUGAAUAUAUAGAUUUAUUAAUUUAUUGACGUUUCUUUCUUCCUCAGAGUGUCUUUGUGUAUGCAUGUGUGUGUGGGCGUGUGUGUGCGUGUGUGUGUGUGCGUGCGCGUGUGUGUGUGUGUGUCU